GACGAACGCUGGCGGCGUGCUUAACACAUGCAAGUCGAACGGAAAGGCCCUGCUUUUGUGGGGUGCUCGAGUGGCGAACGGGUGAGUAACACGUGAGUAACCUGCCCUUGACUUUGGGAUAACUUCAGGAAACUGGGGCUAAUACCGGAUAGGAUCUCCUGCUGCAUGGUGGGGGCUGGAAAGUUUCGGCGGUUGGGGAUGGACUCGCGGCUUAUCAGCUUGUUGGUGGGGUAGUGGCUUACCAAGGCUUUGACGGGUAGCCGGCCUGAGAGGGGGACCGGCCACAUUGGGACUGAGAUACGGCCCAGACUCCUACGGGACGCAGCAGUGGGGAAUAUUGCACAAUGGGCGGAAGCCUGACGCAGCAACGCCGCGUGCGGGAUGACGGCCUUCGGGUUGUAAACCGCUUUCGCCUGUGACGAAGCGUGAGUGACGGUACUGGGUAAAGAAGCACCGGCUAACUACGUG
rnacentral:rRNA from 1 species